rnacentral:rRNA from 1 species
UACGUAGGGUCCGAGCGUUGUCCGGAAUUAUUGGGCGUAAAGAGCUCGUAGGCGGUCUGUCGCGUCGGCUGUGAAAACUCAGGGCUCAACCCUGAGCCUGCAGUCGAUACGGGCAGACUAGAGUUCGGUAGGGGAGACUGGAAUUCCUGGUGUAGCGGUGAAAUGCGCAGAUAUCAGGAGGAACACCGGGGGCGAAGGCGGGUCUCUGGGCCGAAACUGACGCUGAGGAGCGAAAGCGUGGGGAGCGAACAGG